CAUGCAAGUCGAACGAGGAAGUAUCUUCGGAUACGAUCACAGUGGCGGACGGGUGAGUAAUACAUAGGAAUCUACCCAAUGGAGGGGGAUAGCUCGAGGAAACUCGAAUUAAUACCGCAUAAUCUCCACGGAGUAAAGAGGGCUUCGGCUCUCGCCAUCGGAUGAGCCUAUGCAGGAUUAGCUUGUUGGUGAGGUAAAGGCUCACCAAGGCAACGAUCCUUAGCUGGUUUGAGAGGAUGACCAGCCACAUCGGGACUGAGACACGGCCCGGACUUCUACGGAAGGCAGCAGUAGGGAAUAUUGGACAAUGAGCGAAAGCUUGAUCCAGCCAUGCCGCGUGUGCGAUGACGGCCCUCGGGUUGUAAAGCACUUUAGGUAACGAGGAAAAGUUAGGUGUUAAUACCAUCUAACCUUGACGUUAAUUACAGAAUAAGCACCGGCUAAAUCCGUGCCAGCAGCCGCGGUAAUACGGAUGGUGCAAGCGUUAAUCUGAAUUACUGGGCGUAAAGCGCGCGUAGGUGGCAUAUUAAGUUAGAUGUGAAAUCCCGAGGCUUAACCUCGGAACUGCAUCUAAAACUAAUAAGCUAGAGUACUUAGAGA
rnacentral:rRNA from 1 species